CCUCUUGCCAGGUGUCCUCGAGUGAGUGACAUCGUCUUUAAACCCUGCGUGGCAAUCCCUGACGCACCGCCGUGAUGCCCAGGGAAGACAGGGCAACCUGGAAGUCCAACUACUUCCUUAAGAUCAUCCAACUUCUGAAUGAUUAUCCGAAAUGCUUCACUGUGGGAGCAGACAAUGUGGGCUCCGGGCAGAUGCAGCAGAUCCGCGUGUCCCUCCACAGGAAGGCUGUGGUGCUGAUGGGCAAGAACACGAUGAUGGACAAGGUGAUCCGAGGGCAUCUGGGAAACAACCCAGCUUUGGAGAAACCGUUGCCUCACAUCCAGGGGAACGUGGGCUUUGUGUUCACCAAGGAGGACCUCACUGAGAUCAGGGACAUGCUGCUGGCCAAUGACAUGCUGCCUGCCGCCCUGCAAAGUCACUGUGCUGGUCCAGAACACUGGUCUGGGCCCUGAGAAGACCUCCUUCUUCCAGGCUUUAGGCAAUACACUAAAAUCUCCAGGGGCACCAUCGAAAUCCUGAGUGAUGUGCAGCUGAUUAAGAUUGGAGACAACUUGGGAGCCAGUGAAGCCCCGUUGCUGAACAUCUCCCCCUUCUCCUUUGGGCCGGUCAUCCAGCAGGUGUUUGACAAUGGCAGCAUCUGUAACCUUGAAGGGCUCGACAUCACAGAGGAAACUCUGCAUUCUCGCUUCCUGGAGGGUGUCCGCAAUGUUGCCAGCGUAUGUCUGCAGAUUGGUUACCCAGCUGUUGCAUCUGUACCCGCUUCUAUCAUCAGUGGGUACAGGUGGGUCCUGGCUUUGUCUGUGGAGACUGAUUAUACCUUCCCACUUGCUGAAAAGGUCAAGGCCUUCUUUGCUGAUCCAUCUGCGUUUGUGGCUGCUGCCACCACUGUUGCUCCUGCUGCUGCUGCUGCAGCCCCAGCCAAGGCUGAAGCAAAGGAAGAGUCGGAGGAGUCGGACGAGUGUAUGGGAUUUGGUCUCUUUGACUAAUCGCCAAAAAGCGGCCGACUCAGCCGGCUUUAUUUGUGAAACAAGGAAAGAAACGCUUACGUCUCUUACCAAAAAAUAAAAUAAAAUAAAAUAA